UUAGUUCCGUUAAAGUGAAAAAUACAAGUGAGAAUUUUGAUGUAUUUACAUUGUGCUAAUAUUGUAUUUUACUCAAAAAGAUAUAUGUUUCUUAUGUAUUAUAUUUGUAAGAAUUAUUGUUUGGUUCUUGAGUUUAACCUAUUAAAAACUCUAUUUGAUUCUUGAGAUUAACAUGUGAAAAUCUCUACAUGUUCUAUAUUCCUUAUCUCUUUAUUUUCCAUUGCUUUAUUUUCU
rnacentral:lncRNA from 1 species